rnacentral:rRNA from 1 species
UACGUAGGGUGCGAGCGUUGUCCGGAAUUAUUGGGCGUAAAGAGCUUGUAGGCGGUUUGUCGCGUCUGCUGUGAAAUCCCGAGGCUCAACCUCGGGCCUGCAGUGGGUACGGGCAGACUUGAGUGGUGUAGGGGAGACUGGAAUUCCUGGUGUAGCGGUGGAAUGCGCAGAUAUCAGGAGGAACACCGAUGGCGAAGGCAGGUCUCUGGGCACUUACUGACGCUGAGGAGCGAAAGCGUGGGGAGCGAACAGG